rnacentral:rRNA from 1 species
AUGGCUCUCGCGCCCGACGAUGACGAGGAGGAUUUCCCGGGUGGAAAUGGGGGACAAAUCAGUGCAGAAUUGGGGAGGAAUAGGGUUGGAUCCCUGUAUUGUGGUGAUAUUAGAGCAAUAACGGGUUGUUGGUCCACCAAGGCGGACUCUUCGGAGCGCGACUUAAGGGCCAUCAAGGUACUGCUCCAGAACAUUGAUCUUAAUCUGAAGAACAUUGCAAAGGGGCAACAAGAGCAAGAGGCCCCCAAACCAGAUGCGAGAUGCUGGAAGGAUAUCCUUGACGAUAUAAUCAGAAAAAUCAAUACCCUGAUUUCGCAGCCCGGAGUCUGGAAGGAAUUUCACACUCUCCUCAUCUCCAUCUUCUCAGGCUUGACUCUCCUCGCUGAAAUGUUUGGGGAUCCAGCUCAUAAUUUCCAUUGCCCCUUCUCUGGUUGCAGUGAGGUGGUCUACAUCUUCGAUCUAUCUCCCAAGGAUGAAAAUGACACUGGUGGCAGCUCUAACAUGGACUGCAAGGAUAAGGGUGCAAGCCUUGCGAGGUGGGAGUCGGAGCUGCACAGUCUGCUCCCCAUGAUUGGUGAGCUUGCUGAUGCCUUACCUACUAAAGCCAAGGAGAGUGAAGCUGCUCGUGCAAGCGAAAUGACUCGAUCACUCCGUUAA